CUUACUAAGAGAAUUGCUGAAUUAAAGUUGCAUGUGUGUGCAUGUGUUGGGAAGAAGUGCUGAUUCCAGCGCAGAGUGGCUGUACUCCUUCCUCAUCUCCACUCACAAAAAUGCCAUCUUUUAUCUGCUCAGACCUGACAUGGAGAUUCAGGUCAGCGGCCAGGGACUGUCAGCAUAUUGCAGUGGAUACCCCUGCCUAGCCCAGGUUCUCUUUUCAACUUGUCUGCGAGGCAAGAAUGGAUACAGAUGUGAGAGUGAGAGGAAGUCUGCGGGAAGCCGGGGUCCAAAUACAUAAGGAAAUAUGAAAAUGGAGAGUUAAUUGAAUCCCUAUGAGACUAUAUCCCAUUUUGUUGGAAAAUCAAAGCAUCAGCAUGGAUGAGUUGGUGUUCUGGAUUUUGUGUGCUCAAAGUAAUAGCUACCUAAUGCUUUGAGGACUUAAUAUCAAGUAAGCGUUUUAAAGAUAAAUGGUAAAACUGAACUGGAAAUCCAUCUGGCCGGCUGCCUGCUCUAAUGAAUAACCCCACUUUGGCUCGUGCAAUGACGUCUUCCCUUUGGAAAGCAGUGCAGUGACAGUGUCAAGGGUGCCUGUGUGUUUGCGGCAUGUUCCUUCCAGAAGCAGCUGUAAGUGCCACCUCCAGGCCAUCUGGCCAAUGUGAGAAAAGGUGGUUGCAAUGGCUUGGCAAAAAACAACUUUCUGGUCCUCUGGUGUCCCCUUAUAACUGAUUUAAACAUAUGUGCAAGGACUUCCUUAUUGCUAUCAGUGGCUGUCAAAAAUUUAUAAGCAUAUUCAUUUCUCUGUUCAACUUAAUUGGUAUUUUGGAUUUGACACUAGGAAAGCAAGUUUGACUUGCGUGUUAAGAGUCCAAGGAUAUCACCCACAAAAUUCUAGACAAUAAGAAAGGGUAAGUGUCUGAGGAGAGAGGGCACUUACAAGUUAUUCCAUUGAAUCCUAAUUUGAGGCUUCCAAAUUCAUUUUGGGGCAAUCAAAGAGAAAGAACUCUAAGCAUGGCUUUUUAAAACACUAUAAAAAGGAUUCCUGGUAUAAUAGAGCUCUCUAAUUUGAUUGAAGAGCACAUAGACUUCUAGAACAAGUUGUAUUUUUGAUGCUUAAAAAAAAAUCUUUUUUUUUCUGUGAUGUGGUCUUUUAAACUCAUAGCAUACCUUAUAGCUCCCUCUACUUCCUAUAUUUUAAUUGAUCUUGAGGUUAUUUUCCUGUCACUGGGCUUAAUGAACAAGUAUUUUAGAAUUUCUUCCUGUAUAUAUCUUCAUUCCUAUCUCAAUAAAAUGUCUAAUCAAGAAUUCACGUGUAGAAAAUAAAAAAUAGAAGCACAUAGCCUUAAAGUGAAGUUAGUUGUUUCUGUUAUUUUAUAAAAUCCAUGGACCUCAAGUUUGAGUAUCAUUAUUAUAAAAAACAUAGCCACUCAAGCCAUGUGUGACACACUCGCUCAUUAACUGUGCAGCUUUUCCUAUAGAAUAUGGGAAUAUGGGGCAGAGGCCAUGUGAUAAGAUGCAGGCUUCUUGUCAAUGGACCCAAAUUAAAAUACUAGCUUUUCCUAUUUUUAAGUUGGGUUACUUUGUCCAUUACAUGGAGUUACUCUUGCCCAACUAGCAUGGUUGACAUCAUCUCACCAAAAAUCAAUAAAUGUAUGGGUGCUCAAGAAAUGUUGUUGAUUUAUUUCAAGGGGGUGCUUCAAUAAUGAGAAGUAGUUAAGCAACUGGGUUAGGGUUUGAAAUUGGCCAAAUCUCAGAAAUCACCCUGAUCUGACUUAACUCUUCUCUGCCUCAGUUCCCUUUUCUCUAAAAUGGAGCUAAUAUCAAAGUCUUUGAAACUAUGGAAAGAAUUAAUGCAUAUUAAGUCCUUAAGAAAGUUCCUGAUGUAAACUGUGGACCUGGGGUGACAACAGUGUGUCAGUGUAGGUUUAUCAAUUGUAACACGGGGGAGGAGACUGGACUGGGAGAAGGGGUGGGGGCGCAGGGGCUAUAUGAGAAAUCUCUGUAACUUCUACUCAGUUUUGUUGUGAUUUCAGGUUCACAUCUAUUUUGAAAAGUUUCCCUGCACAUAGAAAACAUUCCAUCAAUGUUGGCUCUUACGAUUUACAUAUAGUGC